UCAGCAAGACGGGCACUGCUG
rnacentral:misc_RNA from 1 species